rnacentral:rRNA from 1 species
UUUUUAUGGAGAGUUUGAUCCUGGCUCAGGAUGAACGCUGGCGGCGUGCCUAAUACAUGCAAGUCGAGCGAACAGAUGAGGAGCUUGCUCCUCUGACGUUAGCGGCGGACGGGUGAGUAACACGUGGAUAACCUACCUAUAAGACUGGGAUAACUACGGGAAACCGGAGCUAAUACCGGAUAAUAUAUUGAACCGCAUGGUUCAAUAGUGAAAGACGGUUUUGCUGUCACUUAUAGAUGGA